CAAGGAAUUUUCCGCAAUGGGCGAAAGCCUGACGGAGCAACGCCGCGUGGGGGAUGACGCUUUUCGGAGUGUAAACCCCUUUUCCCAGGGAAGAACACAAUGACGGUACCUGGGGAAUAAGGACCGGCUAACUACGUGCCAGCAGCCGCGGUAAUACGUAGGGUCCGAGCGUUGUCCGGAGUUACUGGGCGUAAAGCGCGCGCAGGCGGUUCGAUAAGACUGGCGUGAAAGCCCCCGGCUCAACCGGGGAGGGUCGUUGGUGACUGUCGGACUUGAAGACAGCAGGGGCAGGUGGAAUUCCCGGUGUAGUGGUGAAAUGCGUAGAGAUCGGGAGGAACACCCGUGGCGAAGGCGGCCUGCUGGGCUGGUCUUGACGCUGAGGCGCGAAGGCGUGGGGAGCGAACGGG
rnacentral:rRNA from 1 species